GACACUAUAGCCAAGUGGUUAAGGCGACAGAUUAGAACUUAAAUUAUCUGUUUCUCUAUGAGAGCGUAGGUUCGAACCCUACUGGUGUCG
rnacentral:tRNA from 1 species